AGAGUUUGAUCCUGGCUCAGAACGAACGCUGGCGGCGCGCUUAACACAUGCAAGUCGUACGCACCUCUUUCGGGGGGUGAGUGGCGCACGGGUGAGUAACGCGUGGGAACCUACCUCGGGGUUCGGGACAACGGCGGGAAACCGCCGCUAACACCGGAUACGGCCGUGGCGACACGGCGAAAGUUUACGCCCUGGGACGGGCCCGCGUCCGAUUAGGUAGACGGUGAGGUAACGGCUCACCGUGCCUGCGAUCGGUAGCCGGUCUGAGAGGAUGAUCGGCCACACUGGGACUGAGACACGGCCCAGACUCCUACGGGAGGCAGCAGUGGGGAAUCUUGGACAAUGGGGGCAACCCUGAUCCAGCGACGCCGCGUGGGUGAUGAAGGCCUUCGGGUUGUAAAGCCCUUUUGCCGGGGGCGAUGAUGACGGUACCCGGCGAAUAAGCACCGGCUAACUCCGUGCCAGCCGCCGCGGUAAUUC
rnacentral:rRNA from 1 species